UCUCCGUAGGUGAACCUGCGGAGGGAUCAUUACAGAGAUCAUGCCCUACCGGGUAGAUCUCCCACCCUAUGUUAUUAUUACUUUGUUGCUUUGGCGGGCCGUUAGGCUCCGGCCCGACUACCGGCCCCGGCUGGUAAGCGCCCGCCAGAGGACCCAAAACCCUGAAUAUUAGUGUCGUCUGAGUACUAUAUAAUAGUUAAAACUUUCAACAACGGAUCUCUUGGUUCUG
rnacentral:misc_RNA from 1 species